AAACAGCACAUGGCACACAAUUUGUAAUAGUCAUUUUACUAAGACAGAAGCAAGUGUGAUUUGUUCACAAUUAGGUUACUCUUCAUAUGGUGCAUGGCCAAGCAAUAAUCAGUACAAUUCUGAUAAUAUAUGGCCAUUUGGAGUUUAUGCAUUAUAUUGCAAUGGAAAUGAAACUAAUGUUUUUGAUUGUUCAUAUUCUGUGACCAGUUCUGUUGGCCAUAGCUGUUCUAGAUGGUCACAUCAAGCUUCUGUCAAAUGCCAAUCUAAAACUACUGAAUUUGUUGAUUGUGCCAAUGGUGAUCUAAGACUGAUUGGAGGACAAACAAAGAAUCAAGGAAGUGUACAGAUUUGUUACAACAAUGCCUGGACAUAUUUGUGUAGUGGAUGGUAUUGGGGUACUACUGAAGCUAAUGUUGUAU